AAUCAAUAAACCUGUCACACAUUUUUAAGACUAUCUCAGAUGCACCCUUGCAGAAUGCACGGGUGUUGCUAUCAGGAAGAGAAACAAGCACUGACAUUCUUUUCUUUGCUGAAUUGAAAGGUUCAACCUUCAGCAAUUUACAAUCCUUUUUUUUAUCAUCAAUAUCACCAAGAAGUAAUCCAUAAUCUAAUAUUGCAGAUUCUGUAGGUGAACCCAGAACAGAUUUCUUUCCAUACUUGUCUUUAACCACCUCAGCUGCUGUAUUAUGAA
rnacentral:misc_RNA from 1 species